rnacentral:rRNA from 1 species
CCUACGGGUGGCAGCAGUGAGGAAUAUUUGUCAAUGGACGAGAGUCUGAACCAGCCACGUCGCGUGAAGGAUGACUGCCCUAUGGGUUGUAAACUUCUUUUAUAUGGGAAUAAAAUGUUCCACGUGUGGGAUUUUGUAUGUACCAUAUGAAUAAGGAUCGGCUAACUCCGUGCCAGCAGCCGCGGUAAUACGGAGGAUCCGAGCGUUAUCCGGAUUUAUUGGGUUUAAAGGGAGCGUAGGUGGAUUGUUAAGUCAGUUGUGAAAGUUUGCGGCUCAACCGUAGAAUUGCAGUUGAAACUGGCAGUCUUGAGUACAGUAGAGGUGGGCGGAAUUCGUGGUGUAGCGGUGAAAUGCUUAGAUAUCACGAAGAACUCCGAUUGCGAAGGCAGUUCACUGGACUGCAACUGACGCUGAGGCUCGAAAGUGUGGGUAUCAAACAGGAUUAGAUACCCUAGUAGUC